CCAGCAGCUGCGGUAAUUCCAGCUCCAAUAGCGUAUAUUAAAGUUGUUGCAGUUAAAAAGCUCGUAGUUGAACUUCAGCCUUGGCCGGGCGGUCUGCCUCACGGUACGUACUGUCUGGCCGGGGCUUACCUUCUGGUGAGCUCGCAUGUCGUUCGCUCGGUGUGCGAGGGAACCAGGACUUUUACUUUGAGAAAAUUAGAGUGUUCAAAGCAGGCAAAUGCCCGAAUACAUUAGCAUGGAAUAAUGGAAUAGGACGUGCGGUUCUAUUUUGUUGGUUUCUAGAGUCGCCGUAAUGAUUAAUAGGGACAGUUGGGGGCAUUAGUAUUGAGUUGCUAGAGGUGAAAUUCUUG
rnacentral:rRNA from 1 species